GAGUUCAAUGCAGUCUCACAAUCACUGCACUCUUCCUCUCCCAGUUGCACAGAUUUCUCUGUGUCAUGCAGCUGCUAUGGGGGGAUGGAGGAGGAGUGGCAUUGGCAAUUCAAGACUGCCUUUCCUACCCUUUUCAGUGCCUCUUUCAGUGAUACGAAGCUAAAACCAGAUACUGCUUUCAUAGUACUUUUCUGACCACGGUUUUCUGGAGUUUUUUCGUAUGGAGUUUGUAAGCUUCCUGACAUGUUAUUUUUGGCAGAUUUUGAUGGAUGUACAUUGAUGGAUAGCCACGUGGAUCCAGAAAAUAAAGACUUCUACUCUGCAUUUGACUAAAGCAGAAGAUAUGCAAGGAAGCUCAGUCUCUCAAUUGAGUGGAUUCUGAAAUUUAUCCUGUUGUCUUCAGCUACUAAGGCUAAUUUGCAAAUCACACUGUGCACGGGUAAGCAUAAACUUACUUCAGCAUUCUGAGGUAACAAGACAGUUGGCUUACUGCAUCUUAGAAAGGCUUAUUGAUUUUGUUAUUGCUACAACUAUCAUGGAAGCAGAGGCAGCAAUUUCUCAAGCCUAGUUCCAAAAGGAUUAAACCUGACAAAGAUUUAUAAACAACCUGUUCAGUGGCUGCUGAUUAACUCCCCAAGAUUGAUGUACUGAAGAAGGAUGACCUCCCCUUGACACCAAUGCUACUAGUCAAUAACGACCACUGUGACUCAGAACAAAUUCUCUGGGGGCAGGCAGUGAAGCUUCUUCUCUUGUUGACCUUACCAGACCACAAGGCUGAAAAUAUUCUGUGGCCUGAUGCCCUUAAAUUGAUCAUAUUAAUACAAUCAAGCAGAAAAGAAAUUAAUUUUCCCUCUCUCUCUCUGUCUAUAUAUAUACUUACUACUAUAUAUAUGUGUGUAUAUAUAUGCUAUAUAUGUGUGUGUAUAUAUAUAGCAGUACAUAUAGAUAUAAUUAGUAUAUAUAGAAGUAGUAAAUAUAUAAAAAUAUAUUUGUAUUCCUCUUCAGCUCCAUACUUGAGAUUAAAAAGUAUCCUUUAAGAGUUCAUACAUCUAGACCUCUCUUCUGAAAAGAAUAAUAAUCUCCUGUUUAUCUAUGCACUUAUUUGCUAAAUAAAGAAGAAUAUUGAGCACCCAAAA
rnacentral:lncRNA from 1 species